GUUAGUGUUGAUGACGUCGGGGGUACACUCGUUCCCAUACCGAACACGAAAGUUAAGUCCGAUGGUGUCGAAAAUACUUGGCUG
rnacentral:rRNA from 1 species